GCCCCAGUAACGGCGAGUGAAGCGGCAACAGCUCAAAUUUGAAAUCUGGCCCCAGGCCCGAGUUGUAAUUUGCAGAGGAUGCUUUUGGCGAGGUGCCUUCCGAGUUCCCUGGAACGGGACGCCACAGAGGGUGAGAGCCCCGUCUGGUCGGACACCGAGCCUCUGUAAAGCUCCUUCGACGAGUCGAGUAGUUUGGGAAUGCUGCUCAAAAUGGGAGGUAUAUGUCUUCUAAAGCUAAAUACCGGCCAGAGACCGAUAGCGCACAAGUAGAGUGAUCGAAAGAUGAAAAGCACUUUGAAAAGAGAGUUAAACAGCACGUGAAAUUGUUGAAAGGGAAGCGUUCAUGACCAGACUUGGCCCGGUUGAUCAUCCAGCGUUCUCGCUGGUGCACUCUGCCGGUCCAGGCCAGCAUCAGUUCGCCGCGGGGGAUAAAGGCUUCGGGAAUGUGGCUCCCCCGGGAGUGUUAUAGCCCGUUGCGUAAUACCCUGCGGUGGACUGAGGUCCGCGCUCUGCAAGGAUGCUGGCGUAAUGGUCAUCAACGACCCGUCUUGAAACACGGACCAAGGAGUCGUCUUCGUAUGCGAGUGUUCGGGUGUCAAACCCCUACGCGUAAUGAAAGUGAACGCAGGUGAGAGCUUCGGCGCAUCAUCGACCGAUCCUGAUGUUCUCGGAUGGAUUUGAGUAAGAGCAUACGGGGCCGGACCCGAAAGAAGGUGAACUAUGCCUGUAUAGGGUGAAGCCAGAGGAAACUCUGGUGGAGGCUCGCAGCGGUUCUGACGUGCAAAUCGAUCGUCAAAUAUGGGCAUGGGGGCGAAAGACUAAUCGAACCUUCUAGUAGC
rnacentral:rRNA from 1 species